rnacentral:rRNA from 1 species
UACGAAGGGGGCUAGCGUUGCUCGGAAUCACUGGGCGUAAAGCGCACGUAGGCGGAUUGGUAAGUCAGGGGUGAAAUCCUGGAGCUCAACUCCAGAACUGCCUUUGAUACUGACGAUCUCGAGUCCGGGAGAGGUGAGUGGAACUGCGAGUGUAGAGGUGAAAUUCGUAGAUAUUCGCAAGAACACCAGUGGCGAAGGCGGCUCACUGGCCCGGUACUGACGCUGAGGUGCGAAAGCGUGGGGAGCAAACAGG